CAGUAGCCGCGGGAAAACGAAGGGGGCUAGCGUUGUUCGGAAUUACUGGGCGUAAAGCGCACGUAGGCGGAUCGAUCAGUCAGGGGUGAAAUCCCAGGGCUCAACCCUGGAACUGCCUUUGAUACUGUCGAUCUGGAGUAUGGAAGAGGUGAGUGGAAUUCCGAGUGUAGAGGUGAAAUUCGUAGAUAUUCGGAGGAACACCAGUGGCGAAGGCGGCUCACUGGUCCAUUACUGACGCUGAGGUGCGAAAGCGUGGGGAGCAAACAGGAUUAGAUACCCCGGUAGUCCCUGUCUCUUAUAC
rnacentral:rRNA from 1 species